UCCCUGGUGGCUCAGAGGUUAAAGUGUCUGCCCGCAAUGCAGGAGACCUGGGUUCAUUCCCUAGGUUGGGAA
rnacentral:tRNA from 1 species